AUGCCUGCAGACAAGCACCAGGUGGCACCACUCAUUUCAAAACAUCUGCGCAUAGGAUAUCAACCACAGUUGUACCCUCCACAUGGAAAGCCAGGCCAGUUAGUGCUGGAUUUGAUGCAUGGCCCUGCCACAGCUUAUGCACGCGCUGUCCUGUCCACUGGAGUAACCAUGACGCUCGACAAAACUGAAGUUCUUCGUUACCCUGUAAAUGAUGUUGGCAUUCCAGAGGAGGAAAUGAUGUAUGAUUUUCUGAUUGAAGAAAGGAAGGCAAUAGUGAUAGAACAUCUAAAGAUAAAGAUCUAUGGAAUGCCUUUACAUCUUUGGACCAUAAGGGCAAUCGAGCGUGCACUGCAGCCACAUUGCAUUAUUGAGCAUGUUAGCCCAGCCAAUCUCAACUUCCGCAAGCUUCAAUCGAUAAGUUGCACAGCUUGGGCUAUCAGAACUCCUGUGCAAUUUCCAUGGUACAUACUCAUUCAUGUCUACAGCAAAUAUGACAAAGGAAAAAAAAUCAAAUCAGUGGCCAUAGAAUGA
rnacentral:rRNA from 1 species